CCUACGGGAGGCAGCAGGGAGGAAGAGUGGUCAAUGGGCGCGAGCCUGAACCAGCCAAGUAGCGUGAAGGAUGACGGCCCUACGGGUUGUAAACUUCGAUUAUAAAGGAAGAAAGUGAGGCACGUGGGCCUUUUUGUAUGUACGUUAUGAAUAAGGAUCGGCUAACUCCGUGCCAGCAGCCGCGGUAAUACGGAGGAUCCGAGCGUUAUCCGGAUUUAUUGGGUUUAAAGGGAGCGUAGAUGUGUUGUUAAGUCAGUUGUGAAAGUUUGCGGCUCAACCGUAAAAUUGCAAUUGAUACUGGCAGCCUUGCGUCCAGUUGCGGUAGGCGGCAUUCGUGGUGUAGCGG
rnacentral:rRNA from 1 species